AGAGUUUGAUUAUGGCUCAGAUUGAACGCUGGCGGCGUGCCUAACACAUGCAAGUCGAGCGGCAGCGGGCCCGCAAGGGUGCCGGCGAGCGGCGGACGGGUGAGCAAUACAUAGGAAUCUACCUUAGAGCGGGGGAUAGCCCGGGGAAACCCGGAUUAAUACCGCAUGAUGUCGAGAGACCAAAGUGGGGGAUCGUAAGACCUCACACUCUGAGAUGAGCCUAUGUCGGAUUAGCUAGUUGGCGGGGUAACGGCCCACCAAGGCGACGAUCCGUAGCUGGUCUGAGAGGACGAUCAGCCACACCGGAACUGAGACACGGUCCGGACUCCUACGGGAGGCAGCAGUGGGGAAUAUUGGACAAUGGGCGAAGGCCUGAUCCAGCGACGCCGCGUGGGUGAAGAAGGCCUUCGGGUUGUAAAGCCCUUUAAGCCGGGACGAAAAAGCUGCACCUAACACGUGCGGCCUUGACGGUACCGGAAGAAUAAGCACCGGCUAACUCUGUGCCAGCAGCCGCGGUAAUACAGAGGGUGCGAGCGUUAAUCGGAUUUACUGGGCGUAAAGCGUGUGUAGGUGGCUCGCUAAGUCGAUUGUGAAAUCCCUGGGCUCAACCUGGGAAUUGCAGUCGAUACUGGCAAGCUCGAGUUCGGUAGAGGGCGGCGGAAUUCCCGGUGUAGCGGUGAAAUGCGUAGAUAUCGGGAGGAACAUCGAUGGCGAAAGCAACCGCCUGGGCCUGAACUGACACUGUGACACGAAAGCGUGGGGAGCAAACAGGAUUAGAUACCCUGGUAGUCCACGCCGUAAACGAUGGGAACCUGACGUCGGCCUGCUCUGCGGGUCGGUGUCGUAGCUAACGCGCUAAGUUCCCCGCCUGGGGAGUACGGCCGCAAGGUUGAAACUCAAAUGAAUUGACGGGG
rnacentral:rRNA from 1 species